rnacentral:lncRNA from 1 species
AUGCAAAUUCUAAAAUGUUUGUUUCACUCGAACUAUGCUAUGCACUGGCAUAGUAAACACAACUACAAAACGGUUACGUCAAAUGCUGCAAACAACAAUAUAAACUUCAAAGUUGCCCGAGGUGGAAGUAAAAGAAAGAGUAGCAUAAACGUCAGAGCCAAGGAUUUUAGGUAUCUUCCCCUCAAGGGACUCAAAAGGCUACUCAAAAGUUCAAGGGUGAAGAAACCACUGAUCCCUUUUGGCUACGUGAACUACAGUGUCCUAAAGAACUUCAGAGUCUGAAGAAAGGUCUGAUGGGGAAGAAUGUGGCUACAAGGGCAUUGUGCUCAAAGCAAGCAUCUCUCGGGGUCCUUCGAUGGGCACUGAGCAGGUAAAACAAGUGAUGAUGGGCAGAGGAGCCAAUGGGAACACAACCAUCCCCUUCAGCCUACAGGGACCUGGCUACCAUCAUGUACUGGGACGGUAUUGUCCCAGAAGACAGCUUUGGAGGGGAACCUAAAAGAUAAGUAGCAAUAUACCAGAUGGAGGCAGACUUUGGAGAGCAAGUCAACAGGAACAAAAUGAGCAGAAACCUAGAAACAUUAAAAACAACCCCCUGGAGGGGCGGUUGAAAUUAAGAGAUUUUCAUUUGCCUCUAUUUAUAUCCCCAGUAAUAUGGGGGCAUUUAGACUAGAUACACUGUUAUGCCUAGAGCCCAUGGAGAAUAUGCUACUCAAAGACUGGUCCGUGGACCGGUAGCAUUGGCAUCACCUGGCACUUGUUAGAAAUGUAGACAAAGGCCCUAUUCCAGACCCAUUGAAUUAGAUGCCCAGAAAAUUCAUAUAUGCAUUAAAAUUUGAGAAGCGUAGCUCUUGAGAGUAAUGAGGUUUGGGCCAGGUAAUGAAAGAGUGACUCCCCUCCUCACAUUUAUUUAGACAUCAUUUGGUCAUGAGACUAAAUAGGCAGG